CUUGAGAGUGCAGCGAAAGCAUUAAAAAAUUUAUAGCAUCUUUCAGCUAAAAAUAAUAUGACACUGAUAACAGCAUGCGAUAAGGAACAUCUAAUAGCAAUAAUUGCAAAAUAUUUCAAUACAUAACAGCACUUCUGUAAAAAGUUAUAGAUUAUAUCCCAUUAUAUCCCACCGUUCCGUUAUGCAUUAGGUUCCCCUACAUAUAUUAUAUAAUACAGAGAUUCCAUGUAAUCAAAAUAAAGCUCUGUCUUGUAUCACUUCUCAAUAGACAAUGUAUUGAAUACAGAAGACUCCAUUUAAAAAAAUGAUUUAUUCUGUCUUUUUGAACCUAGUUAAGAGAACCGGACUAAUUAUUGUAUAUAUUGACUUAACAACUAUUGAUAACAUUAUAAGUUUCGAUUUCGCAAUUGAUCACUGUCUGUGCUAUUGACUUUACGAAUAAGCCAGAUUUCAAUUUUCUUCGACCCGUCUUGAAACACGGAA
rnacentral:rRNA from 1 species